UACGUAGGUGGCAAGCGUUAUCCGGAAUUAUUGGGCGUAAAGCGCGCGUAGGCGGUUUUUUAAGUCUGAUGUGAAAGCCCACGGCUCAACCGUGGAGGGUCAUUGGAAACUGGAAAACUUGAGUGCAGAAGAGGAAAGUGGAAUUCCAUGUGUAGCGGUGAAAUGCGCAGAGAUAUGGAGGAACACCAGUGGCGAAGGCGACUUUCUGGUCUGUAACUGACGCUGAUGUGCGAAAGCGUGGGGAUCAAACAGGAUUAGAUACCUGGUAGUC
rnacentral:rRNA from 1 species